AACGAACGCUGGCGGCAUGCCUAACACAUGCAAGUCGAACGAGACCUUCGGGUCUAGUGGCGCACGGGUGCGUAACGCGUGGGAACCUGCCCUUAGGUUCGGAAUAACUCCCCGAAAGGGGUGCUAAUACCGGAUAAUGUCUUCGGACCAAAGAUUUAUCGCCUUGGGAUGGGCCCGCGUUGUAUUCGCUAGUUGGUAGGGUAAAAGCCUACCAAGGCGACGAUCCAUAGCGGGUCUGAGAGGAUGAUCCGCGACACUGGGACGGGGACACGGCCCAGACUCCUACGGGAGGCAGCAGUGGGGAAUCUUGGACAAUGGGCGAAAGCCUGAUCCAGCUAUGCCGCGUGAGUGAUGAAGGCCUUAGGGUUGUAAAGCUCUUUUACCCGGGAUGAUAAUGACAGUACCGAGAGAAUAAGCUCCGGCUAACUCCGUG
rnacentral:rRNA from 1 species